UAGAGUUCUAAGAUAAAAUCUAAAAGAAAAAUGGGAAAACAUAUUCUCAAAUAUCUUUUCUUGGCACUUUUGUUCAUUCCGUUGGUUCUAGCAUCGGGACUCUGCUAUCAUGGGGAUUGUAGUGAUCCUACUAGAUGCAAAGAAUUUUGCGCUUAUAUCGGGUCUAAAAAAGCAAAUUGUUCUGACAAUGAAUGUUGCUGUGAUUAGUGCUGCUGUUGAAACAAAUUACAUUAUAAUAUCCUUAAAAAUAUUACAUUAUUAUAAAUAUUUAUAUAUGUUUUACUAAAGAUUGAUACCUGGUUCACAACAAAAAGAAUAAACAAUCUCAUAAAUAAAGAUCCAUUAUACUAAAUAAGAAACAUCUUCCUCCAAAGGUUGUAAUUUCAUGUUUGAAGAUAUUAUGAUGUCCAAUGUCAGCAAAAGAAAAAAUGGAGAACUGGAAGUAGGGGCCAGAUAAAGAAAGCAAGAUGUCUCCAAAUCCUCGAUGUGAAAGAGGAAAAAAACUCAAUGUAGCAUAGGAUUAUGCAUUCAAGAAUUGGGGUGAAAGUUGUUUUGAUUUAAAUAAUGGUGGGAGGGUGCCCCAAACUUAAGUUGUAUCCAAUUAAAUACAUCCAUUUAUAUUCUCUUACUAUUAAUGUUAUUAUAGUUGUCUUGAAAUAUUUAUCUUAAUAUAUAAUACUAAGGUUCAUAAUG